CGAAGGUGAAUAUUGAUGCAGGAGGAUUCGAGUUGAGUUAUGCUGAUCUGUUAGAUAGCUCAUUGAUGGCGCUGAGAUACCAUGAGAUGGCGGAUAGGCACAAAGAUGGAAAAUAAAUGCAAUAUUUCCUUAAUUGGGGGUAAUUUUGACACGUCUUUGGUAAUUUAGCCAUAACUUUGGCUACGGUUAUCAGAAUUGCUAUUAUGACCCCAAUCCGGAAAGCUCUCUUCGGCACGCACGUCAUGGCCACCUAGCUAUGCUCGAUGAGCUUCAAUUUUGAGCACAAAAUCUACUAUUUUCCUUUU
rnacentral:lncRNA from 1 species